GGCAUCAACAAAAUGAAAAGUCUAAAUGAAUCACUUGAUCACACCUUAUAUCACUUUUCUACGUAACCAAAACCUCUGUCACAAACACACAGCUUCAGGACUCACCACAGGAAUCAUCUGCUUAUGGCAGAAGACAAAGCACAGUAACAAAACAUCCUAGAGCUAGUUCUACAUUCCUUGCAGUAUCUAUAGCCUGACAGGAAACCAUCCCUAAAUCAUUUACUAUUUAAACUCAGUCAGUUUCUAGGAAAUUAAAAUUGUAGGAGUCCUUGCCACAGAACACACAGAACGUGAUCUGAAUUGCUGCUUCCGGCUGUGGACCAAUUACUGCCUACUAAUCCUGCUGCUGGGAAAAGGAAGAAAAAGUUAACUUCAGGAUCCAUUCGAAACAUGAAACAUUACCCAGGGGUGGAGGAGGAACGCUUCCUUUGAUUUUCAGAAGAGUCACAUGGAGCCCAUAUAAACACAGACAAACAGGUAUUUCACUCAUUAUUUCUAAGAGGACCUCGUUUUCAUGUCAAGAGGUACUGUAAGGGAAAAGCUCUGAUACUGUCAGACCCUUGCCUGUGUUAUGAUAUCUAUUUUUGCCAAUGACAUACAUAGACAAUUCCCAAAGUGAACUACUCCAUUAACAAUUACAAUUUCUAAGCAUAUUUCUCCUCUUAGCAGUUCCCUCAUGUCAUUCUUAUAUUCUAAGAUCUUAUUUAAGUAACAUCACUUUUACUGCAGUAUUCUAACUCCUGCUGCACUUAUUUAAUUUGCAAUUGGCAUUUCUUCAAAGACAGCCACACAAAAUGGCACAAGUACAGUCAAGAGUAUCAGCAGGUUAGGCACUACCCAAUCAACAUGGGAAUCAUGUGUCUGGAAUGACCUGGGGUAUAAAUGACCUUGAUUAGGAGAAAAGCUGAGCUAGAUUUGACUUCCUGGGAAAAAGAAGGAAAUACAGAAAUAAAAAAGGCCGCUUUCCAAAACUCAAGUUCUGCCAAAACUCAGAAAAUGGCUGAGAAUUACCUACUCCAUAACGGGAGGAAACAAAUAGCAGCAUUCCUCAAAAAAGGAAAAGACACAGAAUGCUGAAGCAACCCUGUUUGGGAAAAUACUUUAUCCAAGAGGCAGCAAAUGUACUUGAGAAGAUGGUCAAGGCAUGGCUUUGCUGACAUGAGGACAACACUCUACAUGCUGACCCGUGCUUCCAAGCACUAUAAGUAAGCAACAUGAGUCACUUGAUUGCCCUGCAGAGACAUGACAAUGCAUUACCUUUCUAACAUAAGAAACAGCAUCUUCUUCUGUGUACACCUCUGCACUGACCCCUCCUCUCCUGCGUCGGGCUUUUACUACUGGGUUGGGAGGAGGAGGAGAAAUCUCAUCGUCAUGGGAAUCAGACUGGGAACUGGACUUCUGCCGAGCCAGUAUCUGUUUGCAUUCUUCCUGCAAGGCAAAAAGAGACAAAUGAAACAUCUCUUACGCAGGCUCACUAUUGCAAGAAAGAGCAAAGAUGUUCCCUAUUCCAGAAUUUAUGUCACGUAACAGACUUACAACCAAUGGGACUACUUCCAAGCAAGCAAGAUCCAAAGUAGGCUCCAGAGGACUACAAAAACGAGGGCUGGCUUAGCACCAGCUGGCCAAUAGGGAGGUUAUUCUCCAAAUAUCACAUCCAUGGAGGACAGAGUGAAGUACAAAGGGGAAUCCCUGAAAAUAUGGUAACAAGAGCAGAAAAAAUCUUCAAGGAAGGAUGUGAGAGUUACGAGAUGCUGUCCAUUCAUACACUGAAUUAUCUGAUUUCUGAAGAACUCAUACAAACAUGAUUACCCAUAGCGAUAGUGUUUUCAGGUAUAAGAUGUGAAAGUUCAAUGUAAAAAACCAAAAACCUACACCUGAGCAGUACUCGUUGUUCUACUGCCUCCCCAGUGCCUUGGCUUACUCCUUCCAGCCUCUGACACUACACAAGGUGAGGGGGAAGGGCCAUGGGAUGGAUCUUGCAUCCAGGCCUCAGCUUGUCCCAUAAAGAAAACUGUGGGGGAUAUGAACAUUGUGAGCAGGCAUCCUGCUUGGGCAGCAGCAGUCCAAUGAUUUAUUUGCUGUCACCUACUCCCUUGCCAUACACAUUAGAUGCACCCUGAUAGUCUCAGAGCUGUGUUGAUCGAUGAACACACAGACAGCACUCAUCAGGCUGCCAGCUGAACAACUCCAUUAUUUCUUAGAGAACUCAUACUGGUGGAGUUGCAGGCUAUGUGAAAGAAAAAAGAAAAUGCAGCAAUGCAAAGGCCCCUGCACAGCCAACACAGCCAAUUUCCCUUUGACAGUGAUACCAGAACCUGGACUCUGUCUUACACAACUAAUUUCUGACGAGACUGAGCAAUUUGAGCUAGUAAAUGGAGUGAGUGGAGGAGGAAGGAUCUCAGAGCAUCAGCACCAGACAUGUGGCAAAUCACCAGCACUGCCAGUUGGUCUUAUUGUCACAGGAAAUGAGUUACAGCUAACUCAUCAGGUAUCACACCAGAAAAGAGUGGUACAGAAAACUGGCGUAAGUUCACAAUUCUUAAGCUUGCAAGAAAAACAAAUGAUGAAUAUAUGUUUUGCCACCGAUGUUUACAAAUGUCUGACAAAUCCAGUCAUGCCACUUGUCUUUUCUGGUCUCAUUCCAGUUUCUUCUGCACCACCACUAACGCUGCCCUGUUAUUAACUUCAGGAGCCUUCAUGCCAACCUUCAACGUGUUAUGCCAGUUGAAAUAAACAGCAAAAU